UGUCGAGGCUCGGAAGUAGCUACUUGCAGGCUGAGGAUUCGUUUUAAACGGACGACCUUGGGAGUCCGUUUAAUUGAAUCCGAAGCCAGCAAGUAGCCUUCCAGCCGAGUCAUAUAUAGUGCUUUUCUCAAAAAUGGUGCAAGAAAUAUAAAUAUCAUAUAAAUAUUUUACAAAAGCAACUUUCUUACGUAUAUAUUUUCACAGAAAAAAGUAGAAACAAUUGAAAAAAUUAGCUUUGCCGCCUUUUUAUUUUUUUAAUAAAAAAAUAGAAGUGUAUUUUUCUGCCGAAAAUACGCCAACCUAUUUGAGACAGCUAAAUAGUCGCGGUACUAAUCAUCUGUUUGGCUGUUUAAUGGGCCUGUGCCUUCAUUUGAUAUGGCCAUUUCAACUUUUAAAAAGUUUGGAACUCGACAAAUAAUGGAAUUUGUAUGCAACAUUGCAGUCCCAAAAUCGGGACUGCAAUGUUUUUAACUUUUUAAUUUUUGACUGACCAUAAACUACGCGCUUCGCAACCUAUUUUUUAAACGGCAAAGUCGACUUUGCCGUCCAUUUUUGAGAAAAAGUUUAUUUCCGACUAUGCUAGUGUUGUUUUAUGUUUUUUACCGUAUUUAUGAUUCAAAAUAUAUUGUCUUUAAGUGCCUUAUGUGUAUGCGUGUCACUUAAAUGUAAAAUGUGAUAGAUAAGAUAAUCAAUAAGACACCUAAACUAGUAGUAAGCAUUUAAGAGGAUUCCCUCAACAUAGAAGCAUUUUUAUAUUAUUUUCCAAUUUUUGUUGCAGUCAGGUUUUAACCUACCUGCUAAUAACUUCUGGUGCAAGACUUCCAUUUUAUAGUACCUGUGAAAAUUUGAUUUAAGAAAUAAAUAUUCAAAUAAAAAAUA